rnacentral:rRNA from 1 species
GCCCCUGCGGUGGAGCAUGUGGUUUAUUCGAUGCAACGCGAAGAACCUUACCUGGUCUUGACAUCCACAGAACUUAGCAGAGAUGCUUUGGUGCCUUCGGGAACUGUGAGACAGGUGCUGCAUGGCUGUCGUCAGCUCGUGUUGUGAAAUGUUGGGUUAAGUCCCGCAACGAGCGCAACCCUUAUCCUUUGUUGCCAGCGAUUAGGCCGGGAACUCAAAGGAGACUGCCAGUGAUAAACUGGAGGAAGGUGGGGAUGACGUCAAGUCAUCAUGGCCCUUACGACUAGGGCUACACACGUGCUACAAUGGCAUAUACAAAGAGAAGCGACCUCGCGAGAGCAAGCGGACCUCAUAAAGUAUGUCGUAGUCCGGAUUGGAGUCUGCAACUCGACUCCAUGAAGUCGGAAUCGCUAGUAAUCGUAGAUCAGAAUGCCACGGUGAAUACGUUCCCGGGCCUUGUACACACCGCCCGUCACACCAUGA